CUGAUCUUAUCUAUCUACUGAUUCUCUGUGGGAGGAGUCACUCAUUCACCUUAUAAAAGCAGUACUUUCAACCUGAUUCAGUGCACUAUCUGUCAUUCACUCAUCUGAUAAAGGAAUGGAAUCCACAUGUCGCUUAUACAUCAGCCUCCCGAAAGAACAUGAGGAUACUUUUGGAGAAAAAUUUGGAGAAUGGGACUAUGGGAUUGUUGUUACAGAUUUGAAUCCAUGUUUGACAGAUGUUGAUCUUCGUGCCUACUUUCAUAGGUUUGGAACAAUAACAGAAUGUGUUAUCAAUAAAGACGAGUCAUCAGGUUGUCCAAAGGGUGUGGGGUUUGUGAGAUAUUCAUCUUCAGAUCAGGCUGAAGCACCUCUAACAAAUGAUUCACACUAUCUUGGAGGCUUUCAGGUGAAAAUCCGCAAAGUUUGUACACCUAAGAUGAAUCAAACUUAAAUUUACAGGGCUGCUGAAUCAUCAUCAUGCACCAUCAACCUUCAUAUGCUGUACAAAGUGUUUGAUAUCAAACCUUUUUUUCUUGUUUCAUUCACAGAUUCUGUAUAUAUUAACAAUUUAGUGUCAGAUUUUUGUACUUAGUUACAUUGAUAUUGCUUUGAUAUUUUAUUAUGAUUCAAUGCCUAUGACAUGUCCUUUACUUGUUUGCAUGAAAUGUUUAGUAAAUGAAUUCUCCCAACACUUUUGAGUUGUCAGAUGUGUUUUCUGAGAUUAAAAGCACAUUAAGAGAGAAUUCGAUAUAAUUCAUGAUCUUUAAGAGAACUAACAAUGACAACAGAUGUUUCACAGUAUAUGAGACCAGACAGCAUCUAGUGAGGUCAUCUGGUAAAUUUGAAUUAAACCCUUGUUGUGAUUCAGUCAAUCAGUAAAUUAAUUGUUGUCAUUUAAUUUAAUGCUGAAGUACAGAGGGAGUUAUUUCACCUUCAUCUAAUUUAUUUCUGCCCAGAUGUGAAAACUGUGCUAUUAGCUUGUCAGAAAAAAAACAAAACAAAGUAAUUUUUUGCCAUUUUAUUUUAUUAAACUACUUCUGAUGAGUCUUUUCUUAUUACAACAUGUACAAAAUCUGGUUGGCUACAGUGGUCCAGAGUAAGUGCUUCUGUGAAAG